AUUCCAUGAGAAACAGACAUUGCACCCAAUUUCUUUAUCAAGUUGUGCUUAACAGUGCAGCUGUCAGACAAACGCAGUAGUUAUUUUUAAUAAUGAUAAUAAUAUGAAUAACAAUAAUAAUAAAAUCAAUUUAGCCUAUUGAAGUGUGCAACAGUUUUUAGAAUGUUGCAGGUAACCCAAGAAAUUUUAAAUGAAUCCCUAACCAAUCACAGUUAGGCAUCAAUUUGAAAUUAAUUCCUAACCAAUCACAGUUAGGCAUCAAUUUCCUCCGCUCUACCCGAUCUUGUGGGAAAGACGAAGACCUCUCACCCGUUCCACUCCACUCCAGCAGCCAUUAUACUGUCUGCGCGGGCACUGGCCUGCACAACUUUCAACAUCUGGAUAUACCUGCUGUGGAAGGGCAGGCAUCAACAGUUGAGGAAAUGUCCUUGAUAAAUCUCUCAACUGCCUGGAGGAAAAGCAGAUACCGAUUAAUAGCUUGUCCAAUGAUGGAGAAAUACAUUUAAAGGACAAUGGGAAAAGGAUCAUGGAGAAAGUGUCUAGAGGACUUCAAAGGAGACGGAGGCAAACAUUGGAGCGGCUGUCGCCGUAUGUUUAAAAUAUGCCCCAGACAGGCAGGGGCGGAGGUUGCAGGAAAAAAAAAUUGUACGAUUUUAGAAUAAGGAUAAUAAUGUUAAGUAUAAAUGGUUGAAAACCUUCUGUUAAAAUAAUGUAAAAAAAAAAAAAAAGAAUAAAAUAAAAGGUUAUUUUAUAAUCCAUUUAAUUUCUUUGUCAUUUAUCUAAUAAACAUCAUUUGUGGAUUACAGUUACUUUUCUGUUUGCUCUUGUCUUAAGCUAAAUACUUUUGGGUUGUCUUGCAUUGGAUCUAGACCUCUGUUCGAACCUUGUUGUUACAUGAAGUUUCUUUUGAUGAAACUUCAUGUAGUUUUAUGUCAUGCCAACAAAAUUACCAUAUAUUUCUUUAAAGUUGGAAUUUGACAGCUUAAUGUUGUGUUUUGACAGAUAUCUGACAUCAAAAAUUCAUUGUCUGUCCACGGUUGGACGUCAGCCCAACAUGUGAGUUUGAUGUUUAGCUUAACAUUGGGGUCUGACACUUAAAACUGAUUCAUUUUAAACCAAAAGGCAAUGUCCAACGUUGGAGGUUUACCCAACACCGGGUUGACGUAACUCAACGUCAGACUGACGUUUAUCUUCAAUGUUGGACAGACGUUGCAAUUUGGUUGAAAAUGGAAAUCGGGUUGAUGUAAAAACCCAAUGUCAGACUGACGUCAACAUCCAAUGUUGGACAGACGUUGCAUUUUGGUUGAAAAUGAAAAUCGGGUUGACUUCAUAACCCAACGUCAGUCUGUCGUCAAUAUCCAAAGUUGGACAGACGUUGCAUUUUAAUUGGAUAUGAAAAUCGGGUUGACGUCAUAACCCGACGUCAGUCUGUCGUCAACAUCCAAAGUUGGACAGAUGUUGCAUUUUGGUUGGAAAUGAAAAUCAGGUUGACGUCAUAACCCAACGUCAGUCUGUCGUCAAUAUCCAACGUUGGACAGACGUUGCAUUUUAAUUGGAUAUGAAAAUCGGGUUGACGUCAUAACCCGACGUCAUAACCCAACGUCAGUCUGUCGUCAAUAUCCAACGUUGGACAGACGUUGCAUUUUGAUUGGAUAUGAAAAUCGGGUUGACGUCAUAACCC